AGAGCGAACGCUGGCGGCAGGCCUAACACAUGCAAGUCGAACGGACUCUUCGGAGUUAGUGGCGGACGGGUGAGUAACACGUGGGAACGUGCCUUUAGGUUCGGAAUAGCUCCUGGAAACGGGUGGUAAUGCCGAAUGUGCCCUUCGGGGGAAAGAUUUAUCGCCUUUAGAGCGGCCCGCGUCUGAUUAGCUAGUUGGUGAGGUAAAGGCUCACCAAGGCUACGAUCAGUAGCUGGUCUGAGAGGAUGACCAGCCACAUUGGGACUGAGACACGGCCCAAACUCCUACGGGAGGCAGCAGUGGGGAAUCUUGCGCAAUGGGCGAAAGCCUGACGCAGCCAUGCCGCGUGAAUGAUGAAGGUCUUAGGAUUGUAAAAUUCUUUCAGUAGGACGAUAAUGACGGUACCUACAGAAGAAGCCCGACUAACUUCGUGCCAGCACGCCGC
rnacentral:rRNA from 1 species